UACGUAGGGACCGAGCGUUGUCCGGAAUCAUUGGGCGUAAAGAGCGUGUAGGCGGCUAUUUAAGUCCUGCGUGAAAUCCUGCGGCUCAACCGCAGACGGUCGUGGGAAACUGGAUGGCUAGAGUGCGGGAGAGGAGAGUGGAAUUCCCGGUGUAGCGGUGAAAUGCGCAGAUAUCAGGAAGAACACCGGUGGCGAAGGCGGUGGGCUGGGCCGGCACUGACGCUGAGGAGCGAAAGCGUGGGGAGCGAACAGG
rnacentral:rRNA from 1 species